rnacentral:rRNA from 1 species
AGCAGCCGCGGUAAUUCCAGCUCCAAUAGCGUAUAUUAAAGUUGUUGCAGUUAAAAAGCUCGUAGUUGAAUUUCGGGAUCAAUACGUCGGUCGUGCUUCGGUACGUACUGGCGUCAUUGGUUUCUCCCUUCUGACGAACCAUGAUGUCAUUAACUUGGUGUCAUGGGAAAUCAGGACUGUUACUUUGAAAAAAUUAGAGUGUUUAAAGCAGGCUCACGCUUGAAUACAUUAGCAUGGAAUAAUGAAAUAGGACGUUCGAUCCUAUUUUGUUGGUUUCUAGGAUCAACGUAAUGAUUAAUAGGGAUAGUUGGGGGCAUUAGUAUUCAAUUGUCAGAGGUGAAAUUCUUGGAUUUAUUGAAGACUAACUACUGCGAAAGCAUUUGCCAAGGAUGUUUUCAUUAAUCAAGAACGAAAGUUAGGGGAUCGAAGACGAUCAGAUACCGUCGUAGUCUUAACCAUAAACUAUGCCGACUAGGGAUCGGAUGAUGUUAAUUUUUUAAUGACUCAUUCGGCGCCUUACG